AUGUUCACUUUGGCAACACAUACACUAAAACUAGAAUCAUAAAGAGAAGUUUAGUAUUGCCCAUAUAUAGGAUAAUAAGCAAAUCUGUGAAGUGUUUCAUAUUUUG
ensembl:snRNA U6 U6 spliceosomal RNA